AGGGUUCGAUUCUGGCUCAGGAUGAACGCUGGCGGCAUGCCUAAGACAUGCAAGUCGAACGGAGUGGCCUUUAGAAGAUGGAGUGCUUGCACAAAAUCGGACAAAGAUUACCACUUAGUGGCAGACGGGUGAGUAACACGUGGGUAAUCUACCUCAGGGACUGGGACAACAGUUGGAAACGACUGCUAAUACCGGAUGAUUCAUAUUUACAAAAGUAAAUAUGCUAAAAGGGGCUUCGGCCUCACCUUGAGAUGAGCUUGCGGUGUAUUAGCUAGUUGGUGGGGUAAUGGCCUACCAAGGCAACGAUGCAUAUCCGAGCUGAGAGGCUGAUCGGACACAUUGGGACUGAGACACGGCCCAG
rnacentral:rRNA from 1 species